UCCCAGGUGGCUCAGUGGUAAAGAAUCUGCCUGCCAAGCAGGAGACCUGGGUUGGAUCCCUGGGUUGGGAA
rnacentral:tRNA from 1 species